ACAACAUUCGGACCGUCGGUCCACCGAGCAAUAUCACCCGCUCGGUGGAAGAUCUUCUCUUUGUCGU
rnacentral:pre_miRNA from 1 species